AGAGUUUGAUCAUGGCUCAGGAUGAACGCUAGCGACAGGCUUAACACAUGCAAGUCGAGGGGCAUCACGGGAGGUAGCAAUACCUUCUGGUGGCGACCGGCGCACGGGUGAGUAACACGUAUGCAACCUGCCCUGUACAGAGGGACAAGCGGUGGAAACGCCGUCUAAUCCCGCAUGCACUCUUCCGGGGGCAUCCCCGGGAGAGUAAAGGAGAGAUCCGGUACAGGAUGGACAUGCGGCGCAUUAGUUAGUUGGCGGGGUAACGGCCCACCUAGUCUUCGAUGGAUAGGGGUUCUGAGAGGAAGGUCCCCCACAUUGGAACUGAGACACGGUCCAAACUCCUACGGGAGGCAGCAGUGAGGAAUAUUGGUCAAUGGGCGGUAGCCUGAACCAGCCAAGUAGCGUGAAGGAUGAAGGUUCUAUGGAUUGUAAACUUCUUUUAUAAAGGAAUAAAGUGAGGCACGUGUGCCUUUUUGUAUGUACUUUAUGAAUAAGGAUCGGCUAACUCCGUGCCAGCAGCCGCGGUAAUACGGAGGAUCCGAGCGUUAUCCGGAUUUAUUGGGUUUAAAGGGAGCGUAGAUGGGUUGUUAAGUCAGUUGUGAAAGUUUGCGGCUCAACCGUAAAAUUGCAAUUGAUACUGGCGUCCUUGAGUACAGUUGAGGUGGGCGGAAUUCGUGGUGUAGCGGUGAAAUGCUUAGAUAUCACGAAGAACUCCUAUUGCGAAGGCAGCUCACUAAACUGCAACUGACAUUGAGGCUCGAAAGUGUGGGUAUCAAACAGGAUUAGAUACCCUGGUAGUCCACACGGUAAACGAUGAAUACUCGCUGUUUGCGAUAUACAGCAAGCGGCCAAGCGAAAGCAUUAAGUAUUCCACCUGGGGAGUACGCCGGCAACGGUGAAACUCAAAGGAAUUGACGGGGGCCCGCACAAGCGGAGGAACAUGUGGUUUAAUUCGAUGAUACGCGAGGAACCUUACCCGGGCUUAAAUUGCAGCGGAAUGAUGUGGAAACAUGUCAGUGAGCAAUCACCGCUGUGAAGGUGCUGCAUGGUUGUCGUCAGCUCGUGCCGUGAGGUGUCGGCUUAAGUGCCAUAACGAGCGCAACCCUUGUUGCCAGUUACUAACAGGUAAUGCUGAGGACUCUGGCAAGACUGCCAUCGUAAGAUGUGAGGAAGGUGGGGAUGACGUCAAAUCAGCACGGCCCUUACGUCCGGGGCUACACACGUGUUACAAUGGGGGGUACAGAGGGUCGCUACCACGCAAGUGGAUGCCAAUCCCCAAAACCUCUCUCAGUUCGGAUUGAAGUCUGCAACCCGACUUCAUGAAGCUGGAUUCGCUAGUAAUCGCGCAUCAGCCACGGCGCGGUGAAUACGUUCCCGGGCCUUGUACUCACCGCCCGU
rnacentral:rRNA from 1 species